UUACUUUAAAAGUCCUUGGAUGACUCACGGUAUUUCAAAAUCAGGUGUUUUCAAAUAUUUUCUAUAAAGUUUAUUUUUUUCAGUUACGGUAACUGAAAAAAAUAAACUUUAUAGAAAAUAUUUGAAAACACCUGAUCGGAAAAAUGAAGAAACAUACAAAAAGUACAAGAACAAACUAAAUCACCUAGUCAAACUCGCCAAAAAAAAUUAUUAUGAAAAACAAUUUGUAAAUUAUAAAAACAAUAGUAGAAUGACAUGGAAAACGAUUAACGAAAUUUUAAAUAGAAGGAAUGAAAAAUCCACACUACCGGAUAAAUUCAUAGAAAAAGUUUCCAACAAAGUCUUGACAAAUCCAACUGUUAUCGCAAACAACUUUAAUAAAUAUUUUAUUAAUGUCGGACCUGAGUUAGCUAGACAAAUUCGCAUUGAAAAUAAUGAAAAAUCAUUUGACAGGUAUCUUUCCGGAAGUUAUGUGAAAAGUAUGUUUGUUGAGCCGGUUACUGAGAUUGAAGUAAAAAUUGAAAUAGACAAAUUAAAUCAAAAUAAAAGUGCUGGUUAUGAUGAGCUAAGUGCCAAAAUAAUAAAGUUCAUUGGAAAUGAAAUAUGUAGACCAUUAGCUCAUAUAUUCAAUUUGACAUUUACCACUGGAAUUAUUCCAGACUCUUUAAAAAUAGCAUUAGUAACUCCUGUAUACAAGGCAAAUGAAGACUUUAGAUUUCAAAACUACAGGCCUAUUUCGGUACUAUCAUGUUUUUCAAAAUUAUUGGAAAAAGUAAUGUAUCAAAGAUUGAUAAAAUUUAUUGACGCAAAUGAAAUCUUGUCGAAACACCAAUACAGAUUUAGGAAAAAUAGAUCAACAGAACAUGCAAUUAUUGAAAUUACUGACAAAAUUUCCAAAGCAAUAGAUGAAGGCAAAUACACAAUUGGAAUUUUCCUUGAUCUCUCAAAAGCAUUUGACACAGUCAACCAUGAAAUUCUUAUAAAGAAGUUAGAACAUUAUGGUAUAAGAGGAUUAUGCAUUGAAUGGUUUAAAAGUUAUUUGAAAGAAAGAAAACAAAUAGUAAAAUAUAAAGAAUACAAUUCAUCAGAAAUGACUAUUACUACUGGUGUUCCUCAAGGAUCAAUACUCGGACCUUUGCUCUUUCUGUUAUAUAUCAAUGAUAUUGAAAAUUGUAGUAAUAUUAUAUCAUUUGUCUUGUAUGCAGAUGACACAAAUGCUUUUUAU